rnacentral:rRNA from 1 species
GACGAGGGGUCCUAGCGUUGUUCGGAAUUACUGGGCGUAAAGCGCAUGUAGGCGGCUUUUUAAGUCAGAUGUGAAAGCCUCGGGCCUAACCCGAGAAGUGCAUUUGAUACUAUUGAGCUUGAGUAUGGGAGAGGGUAGUAGAAUUCCUGGUGUAGUGGUGAAAUACGUAGAUAUCAGGAGGAAUACCGGUGGCGAAGGCGGCUACCUGGCCCAAUACUGACGUGAGAUGCGAAAAGCGUGGGGGAUCAAAACAGG